rnacentral:piRNA from 1 species
UGCUAAAGAUAUGAAAGAAAAGAUGAAGGC